rnacentral:rRNA from 1 species
UACGAAGGGGGCUAGCGUUGUUCGGAAUUACUGGGCGUAAAGCGCACGUAGGCGGAUCGAUCAGUCAGGGGUGAAAUCCCAGGGCUCAACCCUGGAACUGCCUUUGAUACUGUCGAUCUGGAGUAUGGAAGAGGUGAGUGGAAUUCCGAGUGUGGAGGUGAAAUUCGUAGAUAUUCGGAGGAACACCAGUGGCGAAGGCGGCUCACUGGUCCAUUACUGACGCUGAGGUGCGAAAGCGUGGGGAGCAAACAGG